ensembl:lncRNA
AGUUCAGAAACUGUUGGACCUUUAACUCGCGUCCUGCUGGUUAAUGUGUCACACAAGUUAAAUAGUUCGUCUAACUUCUGGAGUUUAGUUUCAGUUUAGUUCAUGUUUACAGGACGUUUGUAGACGAUACAAACAGUAAGGUAAUAGUGAAUCGUUUCGGUCUUUGUUUAGGAAUGUGACUAAUCACAUGAUUAGUGUCAUAUGACAUUGACGAGCCCACGAAAGAGGGAAUGAGAGCAGAAACAGUUCCCAAUAAUACACUAAUACUGUCUGUGGUGAUGAAUUCAGAUGGCUAGACAGAUGUGGAGACUCCUGAAGUAAACCGCUGGAUCAUGGAGCGUUUGGGAGCUCAGUCUCUUCUCGCCAUCGCUUGUGUUUUGGGAGUGGUGGUGAGUCAGACAACACUCAGUCCUGCUGUGACGAUCACCACAACCAGUGCAAGCAUGAGCACUACAGGGCCCAGCUGCUCCAGCCUCAACACCUCCACCUGCGUGGCCUGCGCUCCUGGCUCUUAUUAUGAUAACGAAACUCUGCUAUGUUCCUGCUGUCCCGAGGCAGGCCUGUGUGUGUUACCUGGAGCCUGUCUUCUGUGCGUCCAGGGUUUCUAUCAGCCUCUAGCAGGACAGCAGGGCUGUGUGCCCUGUUCAUCUGGGUUUUACAGCAAUUCCACUGGAAGCCCUGUCUGCCAGCCGUGCCCUACUGGGUCCUACAGCAAUAACACAGGCUCUGCCUCCUGUACAGCAUGUGCACCAGGUAACAAGUGAUAUGUCAUUCAUUCAUUCAGUUUAUGCUAAUUUUUCUUUCCUUUUUUUUUUUUUGCUUUGUUAUAUAAAUAAAUUGACACAUUGGGGGUGGAGAAAAAAUAUG